CCUACGGGAGGCAGCAGUGAGGAAUAUUGGUCAAUGGACGAGAGUCUGAACCAGCCAAGUAGCAUGAAGGAUGACUGCCCUAUGGGUUGUAAACUUCUUUUAUAAAGGAAUAAAACGAGGCACGUGUGCCUUUUUGCAUGUACUUUAUGAAUAAGGAUCGGCUAACUCCGUGCCAGCAGUCGCGGUAAUACGGAGGAUCCGAGCGUUAUCCGGAUUUAUUGGGGUUAAAGGGAGCGUAGAUGGGUUGUUAAGUCAGUUGUGAAAGUUUGCGGCUCAACCGUAAAAUUGCAAUUGAUACUGGCAGUCUUGAGUACGUUUGAGGUAUGCGGAAUGCGUGGUGUAGCGGUGAAAUGCUUAGAUAUCACGAAGAACCCCGAUUGCGAAGGCAGCAUACUAAACUGUGACUGACAUUGAUGCUCGAAAGUGUGGGUAUCAAACAGGAUUAGAUACCCGUGUAGUC
rnacentral:rRNA from 1 species